GAUUUCGCUGAACCCCUUCGUUCAUCCCGUUCUCCACAUUCUGCAAUCUCCUCUCCCGAACCCGAUUCCCCCCGAACCCCUAUUCUCUCUCUCGAAUCCCGAUUCCUUCCCCUGGCCUCUCUUUCUCUUUCACGUCGAUCGUCAAUCUUUUUCUCGUCGACCUCCGACCGCCGACCGUCGACCAUCAACCUCUUUCCCGUCGAUUUGGUGAGUUUCACCGCCGACCGUGAACUGAUCUCUUGAGAGCAAAGGUACUACCGCUUUUGGCAAUUUGUGUUUUCUCUCUUUUGUACUUGACCAUCAACCUCUUUUUUGUACUGUGGCUCAGUCAGAUGCUUGUGUUUUCUCUCUUUUUUUCCCCUCAAUUUGUUUGUCUUGGGUUGGGUAUGGGUUUACUGGGUUUACUUUUAAUCUUUGCCAUUACCAAUUUGAUUUGUUUGUAUGGGAUAAUACUGAUUUUUUCACAAAAAAAAUCAAGCGGGUUGGUACUUUGCAGGAAACAGUGAUUACAUGAUUUAGGGAUUUCUUGUCUGCGAGAGGGAAAAACAGCAAGGAAGAGGAAGAAGAGGAAACAGUGAUUACAUGAUUUAGGGUUUCAUCUAAUCUCUGUUCUUUCCAUUUCUCAAUUAAUUUGUGAAAUUAUACAUUGAGUUGUUAGGGAAAUAAUAGAACAGCUUAUUUUCUUAAUGCAUAUAUUGAUAUGGAUAUAAGAUAAGCUUAUCUUUGGCUUUUAG
rnacentral:lncRNA from 1 species